AUUGAACGCUGGCGGCAUGCUUUACACAUGCAAGUCGAACGGUAACAGGCCGCAAGGUGCUGACGAGUGGCGAACGGGUGCGUAAUGCAUCGGAACGUGCCCAGUCGCUGGGGGUAACUACUCGAAAGAGUAGCUAAUACCGCAUACGAUCUAUGGUUGAAAGCGGGGGACCGUAAGGCCUCGCGCGAUUGGAGCGGCCGAUGUCAGAUUAGGUAGUUGGUGGGGUAAAGGCUCACCAAGCCAACGAUCUGUAGCUGGUCUGAGAGGACGACCAGCCACACUGGGACUGAGACACGGCCCAGACUCCUACGGGAGGCAGCAGUGGGGAAUUUUGGACAAUGGGCGCAAGCCUGAUCCAGCAAUGCCGCGUGCAGGAAGAAGGCCUUCGGGUUGUAAAAUGCUUUUGUACGGAACGAAACGGCUCUGGUUAAUACCCGGGGCUAAUGACGGUACCGUAAGAAUAAGCACCGGCUAACUACGUG
rnacentral:rRNA from 1 species